UACGAAGGGGCUAGCGUUGCUCGGAAUCACUGGGCGUAAAGGGUGCGUAGGCGGGUCUUUAAGUCAGGGGUGAAAUCCUGGAGCUCAACUCCAGAACUGCCUUUGAUACUGAAGAUCUUGAGUUCGGGAGAGGUGAGUGGAACUGCGAGUGUAGAGGUGAAAUUCGUAGAUAUUACGCAAGAACACCAGUGGCGAAGGCGGCUCACUGGCCCGAUACUGACGCUGAGGCACGAAAGCGUGGGGAGCAAACAGGG
rnacentral:rRNA from 1 species